CUUGAGAGUCCCUUGGACUGCAAGGAGAUCCAACCAGUCCAUCCUAAACGAGAUCAGUCCUGGGUGUUCAUUGAAAGGACUGAUGUUGAAGCUGAAACUCCAAUCCUUUGGCCACCUGAUGCGAAGAACUGACUCACUGGAAAAGACCCUGAUGUUGGGAAAGAUUGAAAGUAGGAGAAGGGGAUGCCAGAGGAUGAGAUGGUUGGAUGGCAUCACUGACUCAAUGGAGAUGAGUUUGAGUGAACUCUGGGAGUUGGUGAUGGACAGGGAGGCCUGGCGUGCUGCAGUCGGACACGACUGAGUGACUAAACUUCUGAACUGAAUUCAGUGCUUGGAUGAUUAAGCAAAGAAACAUCAGGAUAGGAAACCUAAGAUGGAGCCAGAAGCAAGGUCAUUGCUGAACCUGUAUGCUGUAAGCUCUACCAUACUUGAUGAAUGUGGACAUUGGGUCCUCAACAGCCACUGCAGACUAGCAGUCUGAUAAGAAAAGCAAGUCUGAAAAAGGUUAAGUACCUUGCCAAAAUCACAAGGCUGAUGUGCUCAAGAGCAAGACAGAGGAUGAGGUCAGAAGAUCUGUCAUCAGAUGCACUUCAAUAUUUCCCCAAUUAAUAACUGUCUUCCAAAGGGAAAAUUAUCCUGGUGGGCCUGAUGCAACCAGAAGGGUCCUUAAAAGUGGGAGAGAGUGAGCUGAAAGGCGUUGUGAACCUGGAGAAGCUCAGAAUAAUCAGUCAGAAGGAUUCAACCUCUGAGUAUGGAAAGGACCAUAAGUGAAGAACUAAUGAAAAAAAUUUGACAAGACAAUUCUCUCUAUGGCUAGAAAAAUGUUGGUCUUUGUCUCUAGAAUAAAGCAUCUUGAGUCUGGAAAUCUAACAGGAAGUGGCCAUCAAAGCUUCUCCCUUGAACCCAGAAAUGGAAGCUUCUGAUUGAGGAUGGCAGAGUUACUUCAACUCCCUGGACUGUUGGAUGAGAGAGAAAUGAAAUUCUCUUUUACUGAAACUUCUGGAUUUGGGGUCUCUUUGUUAUACCAGCUUCCCUAUAACCUAACUAAAAGGCCAAUUUGUACCCUGAAAUAUUCUGGCUGACAUCUCCCAACAAAGCCUCGAUCCCUGAAGACUAGACAGAGCUGCAUGAGAGCAGAGCUCAAGACCUUGUGGUCUGUUGAAACUAUGACUCCUUGGAAAGUUAAGAAAUGGAAUUCAUUGCAGUAGCUGGGAGAACAUACCAUCAACAAAUUCACCCUUAAAUGUUUUGUUAUUCUUGCCGAUUGUGUAACUUUUGAUUUUGAUAUAAUUUAAAAAUUAUACAAAACUUAUAAAGAAGUCACAAGAGUAUUACAGGAACUUCUGCAAACCUCCUUUUCAGAU
ensembl:lncRNA